ACGCUGGCGGCGUGCUUAACACAUGCAAGUCGAACGGAAAGGCCCUGCUUUUGUGGGGUGCUCGAGUGGCGAACGGGUGAGUAACACGUGAGUAACCUGCCCUUGACUUUGGGAUAACUUCAGGAAACUGGGGCUAAUACCGGAUAGGAGCUCCUGCUGCAUGGUGGGGGUUGGAAAGUUUCGGCGGUUGGGGAUGGACUCGCGGCUUAUCAGCUUGUUGGUGGGGUAGUGGCUUACCAAGGCUUUGACGGGUAGCCGGCCUGAGAGGGUGACCGGCCACAUUGGGACUGAGAUACGGCCCAGACUCCUACGGGAGGCAGCAGUGGGGAAUAUUGCACAAUGGGCGGAAGCCUGAUGCAGCAACGCCGCGUGCGGGAUGACGGCCUUCGGGUUGUAAACCGCUUUCGCCUGUGACGAAGCGUGAGUGACGGUAAUGGGUAAAGAAGCACCGGCUAACUACGUGCCAGCAGCCGCGGUGAUACGUAGGGUGCGAGCGUUGUCCGGAUUUAUUGGGCGUAAAGGGCUCGUAGGUGGUUGAUCGCGUCGGAAGUGUAAUCUUGGGGCUUAACCCUGAGCGUGCUUUCGAUACGGGUUGACUUGAGGAAGGUAGGGGAGAAUGGAAUUCCUGGUGGAGCGGUGGAAUGCGCAGAUAUCAGGAGGAACACCAGUGGCGAAGGCGGUUCUCUGGGCCUUUCCUGACGCUGAGGAGCGAAAGCGUGGGGAGCGAACAGGCUUAGAUACCCUGGUAGUCCACGCUGUAAACGGUGGGUACUAGGUGUGGGGUCCAUUCCACGGGUUCCGUGCCGUAGCUAACGCUUUAAGUACCCCGCCUGGGGAGUACGGCCGCAAGGCUAAAACUCAAAGGAAUUGACGGGGCCCCGCACAAGCGGCGGAGCAUGCGGAUUAAUUCGAUGCAACGCGUAGAACCUUACCUGGGUUUGACAUGGAUCGGGAGUGCUCAGAGAUGGGUGUGCCUCUUUUGGGGUCGGUUCACAGGUGGUGCAUGGCUGUCGUCAGCUCGUGUCGUGAGAUGUUGGGUUAAGUCCCGCAACGAGCGCAACCCUUGUUCACUGUUGCCAGCACGUUAUGGUGGGGACUCAGUGGAGACCGCCGGGGUCAACUCGGAGGAAGGUGGGGAUGACGUCAAGUCAUCAUGCCCCUUAUGUCCAGGGCUUCACGCAUGCUACAAUGGCUGGUACAGAGAGUGGCGAGCCUGUGAGGGUGAGCGAAUCUCGGAAAGCCGGUCUCAGUUCGGAUUGGGGUCUGCAACUCGACCUCAUGAAGUCGGAGUCGCUAGUAAUCGCAGAUCAGCAACGCUGCGGUGAAUACGUUCCCGGGGCUUGUACACACCGCCCGUCAAGUCAUGAAAGUUGGUAACACCCGAAGCCGGUGGCCUAACCGUUGUGGGGGAGCCGUCGAAGGUGGGACUGGUGAU
rnacentral:rRNA from 1 species